CCCCCCCCCCGUUUGCACAGGCUUAGAUGUGUGGCUCAGUCUAUGCAGAGCUGGGGGGAUGACUGAAAGCUGGGUGUAGAUCUGGCAUCCAGCCAGGAGGAAGAAGCAUUUUUUUUUUCCCUCCAAGAUAAUGUGUAACUCAGAGGCCACAAACUGCUGCCCCCAGGAUGGGACAGGAGAAUCAAACCGGAUCACCUGGGUUCCUGGCUGCAGCUUGUGCUGGGGGUAGUGGGGACAGCAAGGGACAUAUCUGGGCCUUUCCAGACUCCAAGUUCAGAACAAUUCCGGGACACCGCCCCCCCCCCCCCCCGCCCCCAGCCCAGUGCUCGGGGCUGAGCACUCGAUUAUGUGCUACCUGCCUGCGGUUCUGCGAUGGACAGUCCAGACUGAAAGGUGGCGGUCCCGGGGAGAUCAGAGCACCCAGCCUGGCCCAUGGGACAUCAGCCUGAAGGCUCUCCACACCCUGCUGUGGGCAGCAGCCCCUUCCCAGCCAAGCCGUCCUCCCCUGGGCUCCCUGAAGGGUGUUCUUCACAUACCCGGGUCAUGCAUACGGACCUGGCGCCGUGGGUUAGCACAGAAACGGAUUCACUCCUCUCUGAACCUCAAUGUCCUCAUCUUUAAAAUGGGGAUAAUCAUAGACCCACUUCCUGGGCUUGUGGCAGGAAGACACUGAGCUAAUAUGUAUAAAGCACCGGGCACAGCGUCUGGCAGGUGACGUUAGCUGUUUCCGUGAAUUUCCUUAGGUAAGAAUUGCUAUUUGAUCGCCAAGUUUUACUGCCCCGCUAUGUUCCCCACCCCAGCUGAAGCUCUUUCUCGCCGCUGCCCUGCCCAGGAGGGGGAAAUGUUUGUCUGUGUUUGUCUCAGACAGGUUUGUGCCUGCUUAACCUCAGGGCCCUGGCCCCUUCCCCAGAGUACGAGAUGGUGUCUUAUCCUCCGCUGCUGCCUCUGACGUGCUCCACAGUGACUCCUUCCCCCGCCCUAGUGGCCUUUGAUGUGUCCAUGCAGUCAGAACUGUGCCCAGAGAACCGGCUGGCAGGGAACACGCGGUGAGGAGGGUGGCUGCCCGGCUGCCAAGGGGCUUGUCUGGGUCAAUGCUGUGCUCCUCCGUGAGGGGGACGACUUGGCUCUCGGGACAAGGUGACAGCAGGGAGGCCUUCAUGGUGGUGGAGUUAGAGUUGGGGCGGGGUGGGGAGCUGGACAGGGAAGCAAUGAGAGGCUUGCGCAGAAAACGUCGUCUUACCCUACAGGACCCAGAAAACAGGCGAGGUCCAAAGCGGCCUUGGGUGGGGGCCUCGGCUUCCGGUGGGGACCCCAGCGCCCUGCAGAACAGGUGACAGACCUGCGCUGACCAGCCCCCGGUUAAUGAUCUUGAGACCGGAACAGAAAGGCCUACACCUCAUCUGAGAUUCUCAGCGCACCUGUGACCUUUGUGCCGCGUGUCUUGAAGCAAUCGAAGAACCAGAAGGUCCUAGACCACUCUGCGGCACAGUGAGAGGUGCUUCAGGAACCUUCUCUGGACACUGGAGGUGAUGUCAUUGUGAGUGCUUCCUCCAAAAUGCUGUGACGAGACCACUUGUUAGUUCCGUAACUGAGUGAGUUACUCGACUGCUCUGUGUCUGAGUUUUCUCAUC